rnacentral:lncRNA from 1 species
CUCACAUGAACCUCGCCUGCAACCUCUCCCUGCUCCCUUGGCCUGUCCACUCCUCUGCCUGAGUCACGACAGCAACCGGCCACAUGAACGCGGAGCUUCACGAGGGGCUGAGCGCUCCCUUGCGCGCCAGGACAUUUGCUCCUCCUAAGGACCUUCGAGAUAAGUUAUUGUUAGCUCCACCCAGCAGAAGCGCGAACUCGGGCCCAGGGAAGUCGUGGGGCCUGCCUGAGAUUGUGCAAGCGGUGAGCAGCAGGACCUGACUGGAAGUCUUGGGUUCUUACCGCGGGAUCCUUUCUGUCAGCGUCCCAGAGACACUGGGGCCGGGGGGAGUUGGCUGGAAGGGACGGACUUGGUUGGCUUCCAGCUGGGCCUCUUGUGGUGGCCUCGGGAGCAGGGGGAGCUGCUUUGGCGUCACCGCUCAACCUGAACCCUGUUGGGCGGCUCCUUGCGCGUGCAAAGAAAGGACCCUCUCCUCGGCCCUCAGACUUCCCACGUGACCUACGACAGGCAUUCAGACUCUUCUGGGCCUUUGCGUUCUGGAGCAGAAGGCUAUGGGAACCCAAACCUGGACUCAGGAAGGCAGAAGUGAGAACAGCUGUAUGUUCCUGGGGAAACAAACAACGGCCAUCAUACUGCAUGAGAGCGAUCACCUCCGGGCAGCGUGGAAGACCAGAAAGACCGGAGGAAACAUUCUCUCUGUUUCUGUGCACAGCAUUGAUUCAUACCUUGUCCACUUCCUUGACGAUGAUGUAGCAAGAGUAACUCAGGAUUUAAGGACAGAAAGUCUGGCUUCAGAUCUCUACUUCGCUCACUGGAGAGUCAUUUCCUGAGAUCCUGCUUCCUCACUGUAAAUUGAAACCGCUAAUAAGAGUAUUGACCUUAUUAUAUGCUUAUCAUGACACUUAAAUGAGAUUUAUAUGUGUGUGUAUGUGUAUAAUGUGUACACGUAUGUAAUACAAUGUGUGUGUGUGUGUGUGUGUGUACCCUUUAUAUGGCAAAUUACUGUUUUCAAAUAAAAAACAAAUCCAGACUAGUAAGGAGAGACUU